ACCCCCAAUACUUCUCUUAAGUUUCUCAAGAUCUUCAUCUAGAGGGAUCCCAUAAAUCACUCCUCUAAUCUUUUUAUUUUCUCCCAACACUUUUUUCUCCAACACAGUUUUUUUUACAAAUAUUAUCCACAUUUAAAGCCUUAUUCAUUUGUUCUUCGUUUUUACAGACAACCAAUAGGUUUCCAUCUCGCAAAAUCUUUACCAUUUCGACAUCUCCAAUUUUCUUUUUUAUUUCUCUUGACACCACAAUGGGGCUGAUGUUAUCCUGUUCCUGUUCAUUUUAAAAUUUUAAUAUUAUUUUAAAUUCCUCCCUCACAAGUUUCCUCCAAACUAUCCUUUCUUCAUCCGAACUACUUCCUUCCAGUUCUCGUUUACUGCCUUGAUUUUCCUUUCCUUCAUCUGUUUUAUUUCUUCCACGUCCUCUCCCUCUUCCUCUUCCCACUGGCGUCCACCCUUCUAAAUCCAUACCUUCCUCUAUUUCUACCUCCAUUUCCACCAGAACCAUUCACAUACCAGUUUAUGCCAAAUCCACCUUUUCCAAAUCCGAUAUAUUUUUAUGUUUUGUUUUUCCCGCGCCGCUCCAAAUCCAACUCUUCCGACCUCACACUUCCGCCUCCAACCAUAGACAUAAUCAGCGCCAUAGAGAUUGGACAUCAUUCACUUCCAUUGCUGACUCUCGAGUAAAUUCUGAGCUCCAGCCAGCAUAAACACCAGUGCAUGCGUCGCUUGUCCUUGGUGGUCAGGCAGCGUGAUGUUGCCAAAUAGCCUCCCCGUUCCCAGAUGGAGCUCCACGCCUGGAGUAAUGGACAUUUCAUCUAAGGUAAGCACACACUCUCUCUACAUUUCACUCAUGCAACCUGCCUUCAGCAUCAGCAUCUCAAACACUUCCCCCAAAACUCCCGGCUCCAGCUUUACAUGUUGCAUCCUCCUUUGCAGCGUGCGGAUGUUAGGCAGUGGAAUUUGCAUUUUCUGGAGGGUUUUAUAACCGGUGGUGCCAGUGUUGCCUUAUUAGGUCCUCCACAAUUGCACUAUUAGACCCUGGCAGUCUGGUCCCUGGAGCACCUGGCCCUGGCAAAGUUGGUUCAUCGUUGCUGGCUCCUGACUGACUGGCCCUCGGCACACACAUCCCUGGAUCACCUGCCCCUGGUAAAGUAGCCUCUUGGUCGCUCUCUCUGUCUCCUGUCAUGUCCCUUUCCCUGCCCUCAAAAUCCACCUCAAUUUCUCCCUCAACCUCUGUAACAAUAACAAGGUAAUGUUGCUGUUAUAUGUAUUUUGCAUUUGCACCUACUGUUAUCUUCAAUAAAAGGGUACACUACACUCCUAUAGAAAACAAAUUAAAGCGAAAAAUUACUGUAAUGUGAAUCAAAUCAUCUGCCACAAUCAGAAACCAAAAAAAUUUAUAAACUCAUCUACUGGCAAUGGUUAAUUUGGUAGAAAUUUUUAGAUUAUCUACAUUCUGUAUGCAAAUCCUCAGAGAAUCCCUGAAGCUGGAUGUACUAAUAUGAAUGUAAUGUCUCAUUAGGAGUGUAGUCUAUCCUUGAAUUACAUUAAAUGGGGAAUAUUUUUAGUGUCCAGGACUCAGAUGAAGAGGAUGUUAGUAUGCGUUGUUGAGAGGAACUGCCCUACAGUGACUGGCCAUAGUGCUUACUGGAACUCUACAGAUCUUGCUGGACCAGCAGUAUCGUUUUUGUGGCCAUCACAGGUUUCAGUGGAGCACCCCC